rnacentral:rRNA from 1 species
UGGGGAAUCUUGCGCAAUGCGCGAAAGCGUGACGCAGCAACGCCGCGUGGGGGAAGACGGCCUUCGGGUUGUAAACCCCUUUCAGUUGGGACGAAGCUCCGCCGGUGAAUAGCCGGCUGGAGUGACGGUACCUUCAGAAGAAGCCCCGGCUAACUACGUGCCAGCAGCCGCGGUAAUACGUAGGGGGCAAGCGUUGUCCGGAAUCAUUGGGCGUAAAGAGCGUGUAGGCGGCUCGGUAAGUCCGCUGUGAAAGUCCAGGGCUCAACCCUGGAAUGCCGGUGGAAACUGUCGAGCUAGAGUCCGGAAGAGGCGAGUGGAAUUCCUGGUGUAGCGGUGAAAUGCGCAGAUAUCAGGAGGAACACCAAUGGCGAAGGCAGCUCGCUGGGACGGUACUGACGCUGAGACGCGAAAGCGUGGGGAGCAAACAGGAUUAGAUACCCCUGUAGUCC